AAAUUGAAGAGUUUGAUCAUGGCUCAGAUUGAACGCUGGCGGCAGGCCUAACACAUGCAAGUCGAGCGGUAGCACAGAGAGCUUGCUCUCGGGUGACGAGCGGCGGACGGGUGAGUAAUGUCUGGGAAACUGCCUGAUGGAGGGGGAUAACUACUGGAAACGGUAGCUAAUACCGCAUAACGUCGCAAGACCAAAGUGGGGGACCUUCGGGCCUCAUGCCAUCAGAUGUGCCCAGAUGGGAUUAGCUAGUAGGUGAGGUAACGGCUCACCUAGGCGACGAUCCCUAGCUGGUCUGAGAGGAUGACCAGCCACACUGGAACUGAGACACGGUCCAGACUCCUACGGGAGGCAGCAGUGGGGAAUAUUGCACAAUGGGCGCAAGCCUGAUGCAGCCAUGCCGCGUGUGUGAAGAAGGCCUUCGGGUUGUAAAGCACUUUCAGCGGGGAGGAAGGCGUUAAGGUUAAUAACCUUGGCGAUUGACGUUACCCGCAGAAGAAGCACCGGCUAACUCCGUGCCAGCAGCCGCGGUAAUACGGAGGGUGCAAGCGUUAAUCGGAAUUACUGGGCGUAAAGCGCACGCAGGCGGUCUGUCAAGUCGGAUGUGAAAUCCCCGGGCUUAACCUGGGAACUGCAUUCGAAACUGGCAGGCUAGAGUCUUGUAGAGGGGGGUAGAAUUCCAGGUGUAGCGGUGAAAUGCGUAGAGAUCUGGAGGAAUACCGGUGGCGAAGGCGGCCCCCUGGACAAAGACUGACGCUCAGGUGCGAAAGCGUGGGGAGCAAACAGGAUUAGAUACCCUGGUAGUCCACGCCGUAAACGAUGUCGAUUUGGAGGUUGUGCCCUUGAGGCGUGGCUUCCGGAGCUAACGCGUUAAAUCGACCGCCUGGGGAGUACGGCCGCAAGGUUAAAACUCAAAUGAAUUGACGGGGGCCCGCACAAGCGGUGGAGCAUGUGGUUUAAUUCGAUGCAACGCGAAGAACCUUACCUGGUCUUGACAUCCACAGAACUUUCCAGAGAUGGAUUGGUGCCUUCGGGAACUGUGAGACAGGUGCUGCAUGGCUGUCGUCAGCUCGUGUUGUGAAAUGUUGGGUUAAGUCCCGCAACGAGCGCAACCCUUAUCCUUUGUUGCCAGCGGUCCGGCCGGGAACUCAAAGGAGACUGCCAGUGAUAAACUGGAGGAAGGUGGGGAUGACGUCAAGUCAUCAUGGCCCUUACGACCAGGGCUACACACGUGCUACAAUGGCAUAUACAAAGAGAAGCGACCUCGCGAGAGCAAGCGGACCUCAUAAAGUAUGUCGUAGUCCGGAUUGGAGUCUGCAACUCGACUCCAUGAAGUCGGAAUCGCUAGUAAUCGUAGAUCAGAAUGCUACGGUGAAUACGUUCCCGGGCCUUGUACACACCGCCCGUCACACCAUGGGAGUGGGUUGCAAAAGAAGUAGGUAGCUUAACCUUCGGGAGGGCGCUUACCACUUUGUGAUUCAUGACUGGGGUGAAGUCGUAACAAGGUAACCGUAGGGGAACCUGCGGUUGGAUCACCUCCUUA
rnacentral:rRNA from 1 species